rnacentral:miRNA from 1 species
AGUAGCACCUUAGAGACCAACUAAGUUAGUUAUUGGUAUGAGCUUUCGUGUGCAUACCAAUAACUAACUUAGUUGGUCUCUAAGGCGCUACU